CAGGGAAUCUUGCGCAAUGGGCGAAAGCCUGACGCAGCGACACCGUGUGGGGGAAGAAGGCCUCUGGGUUGUAAACCCCUUUUCUCGGGGAAGAGAGAGGACGGUACCCGAGGAAUAAGGUUCGGCUAACUACGUGCCAGCAGCCGCGGUAAUACGUAGGAACCGAGCGUUGUCCGGAUUUACUGGGCGUAAAGAGCGCGUAGGCGGCUCGUCAAGUCUCAUGUGAAAUCUCCCGGCUCAACUGGGAGGGGUCAUGGGAAACUGGCGGGCUAGAGGGCAGUAGAGGAAAGUGGAAUUCCCGGAGUAGUGGUGGAAUGCGUAGAUACCGGGAGGAACACCAGUGGCGAAGGCGGCUUUCUGGGCUGCCCCUGACGCUGAGGCGCGAGAGCGUGGGGAGCGAACCGG
rnacentral:rRNA from 2 species